UACGGGGGGGGCAAGCGUUGUUCGGAAUUACUGGGCGUAAAGGGCGCGUAGGCGGCCUGUUAAGUCACACGUGAAAUCCCUCGGCUCAACCGGGGAACUGCGUGUGAUACUGGCGGGCUUGAAUUCGGGAGAGGGAUGUGGAAUUCCAGGUGUAGCGGUGAAAUGCGUAGAUAUCUGGAGGAACACCGGUGGCGAAGGCGGCGUUCUGGACUGUUUCUGAUACUGAAAAACGAAAGCCAGGGGAGCAAACGGG
rnacentral:rRNA from 1 species